UCUCGCUUGUCCUGCACCUCGUCCUGCUGGUUCAGCUGGUGCGGGACAGACCGGCCGCCUCCCCGCGGGAGGAAGAGUUGGGGACGCGAGUGUGGAGGCAGAGCCCAGACCUCAGGCCGUCUCCCUACCCCCAUGCGGGCCGGGCACCCAGCCCCUGGCUCCUACCACCUGCCCAGAGGCCACUCGGCCCCCUAGACGGGCACCUCCAAGUGUGCGAGGAGCACGGCCUGGCGUCAGGUGAGGCUCGUGGCGCCCAACGAACCCAAACCCCGCCCAGCUGCCAGCGCGACCGGGACCCGCGGGCGACCGUGUACCCGCAGCGAGUAAACACGAGCCAGGAGCCUCGUCACCACAAAUUCUCCCCAUCGAUCCCAGAGCCCGUGGGGCUGUCGCCCCGCCCGACUCGGCAUUACGAUUCCUCAGCCACAGGCACCCUGGUGCGCGUGGGGGGGGGCGUUAUGUUUUUCCUGUGAUUCAUUAACACAAACACAUGGCUAGUAAAAAAAAUAAUAAGUUU